UAGCCCUUUAGCUGGUCUCAGCCAUCUAGAACUUGGUACGUUGAACUGUGUGAGAUUAUCAGUUGGAGAAAUACUAGGCGGCGUAAGAAUGUGGUAACACUGUAGUGAUCUGCUCAGAUUCUCAGGCAUAACAGCAAAGUGAAGUGCUUAUAAAACUCAAAUUGUCUGCUGAAUUGGAGCUCUGAGAACAUGAGUGUACAUAUAUACGGGUGGCUAUGUAUUAACCAGCAAGAAUAUGAAUUGAAGGAACAAAAGCACAAAUCUGUGUGCUCGCCGGCAGUCAUGCACUGCAGGUCAAAGGCAGGAACAGGAGAAUGUUGGCAGCUGUUGGAUCUGAGCGCAGCAGUAGGAACCAUGCAGUCCUGGGGAAGGCAAGUCCAUGGAAGAAAGCAACAGUGUUUGACAAUGGAUACCAAAUGCUUGCAAAACUACACUUCGUAGGAGGAACAGCUCUUUUCCUUAGCUGAAGUCUCUGCAAACAUUUUACCCAACUAUGAACCCUAAGGAAUAGCAUGAUGACUAUUAUAAUGCAACAGACAAUUUUAGCUAGAGCUUGGAAACCAGUGUCUUCAAGUGUUUCAAGAAGAAGUUACAAGAUUGGUUGAAGUCUAUAAUGGAAAGUAAAAUGCUCUAAAUAAACAUAAUAAAACUAUACCCU
ensembl:lncRNA